rnacentral:rRNA from 1 species
GUCGAGAAUCUUCCGCAAUGCGCGAAAGCGUGACGGAGCGACACCACGUGAUGGAUGAAGUCCUUCGGGGCGUAAACAUCUUUUAUAAAGGAGGAAAUUUUUGACGUUACUUUAUGAAUAAGGGGCUCCCAAUCUCGUGCCAGCAGGAGCGGUAAUACGAGAGCCUCAAGCGUUAUCCGGAAUCAUUGGGCGUAAAGGGUGCGUAGGUGGUUUGAUUAGUCUCCCGUUAAAACUUCGAGCUUAACUCGAAAAGAGCGGGGGAAACGGUCAAACUAGAGUAUGUGAGAGGUGUGUGGAACUCAUGGUGUAGGGGUGAAAUCCGUUGAUAUCAUGGGGAACACCAAAAGCGAAGGCAGCACACUGGCACAUCACUGACACUGAGGCACGAAACCUAAGGUAGCGAAUGGGAUUAGAAACCCGGGUAGUCC